rnacentral:misc_RNA from 1 species
GAUGAGAACGUAGCGAACUGCGAUAAGUAAUGUGAAUUGCAGAAUUCAGUGAAUCAUCGAGUCUUUGAACGCACAUUGCGCCCCCUGACAUUCCGGGGGGCAUGCCUGUCCGAGCGUCAUUGCUGCCCUUCAAGCCCGGCUUGUGUGUUGGGUCGUCGUCCCCCCCGGGGGACGGGCCCGAAAGGCAGCGGCGGCACCGCGUCCGGUCCUCGAGCGUAUGGGGCUUUGUCACCCGCUCGAUUAGGGCCGGCCGGGCGCCAGCCGGCGUCUCCAACCUUCUAUUUUACCAGGUUGACCUCGGAUCAGGUAGGGAUACCCGCUGAACUUAAGCAUAUCAAUAAGCGGAGGA